GCGCGCCCGCCUGCCCGCGCGCGCCGGCGCCCCCUCCCCGCCACGUGACCGGCGGCUCAGCACGACCCGCGAUUUGCACCCCCGCUACGCGGCGCGGACGGAGCCGCAGCGCUCCUCUGCGGAGCUCGCCCCUCAGGUCCUCAGUCCAAGGAGCUCGCGGUGACUUACCCGCGUGCGGGACGCCGGCGCCGGCCUACCCCUCAGUCUCUGGCAGAGAAAAGGGAAAAGCCGCGAAGGACGGAUGGGGCGUACCCCCGGGGUCCUGACUCAGAGCCUGCCCUGUGGUAUUUGGUGGAUGGUGGUGGUUAAACACAGGAACCGGGAAAGAAGAGCGGCUCAGAGGGUGGCGACCCCCGUCUCUAGGGGGAAGAGGCUGAUAGACUGGAUGAUGCAUGGGUAAUCUGCUGUUGGCAAGCUUGUUAAGUGAGCAAAACUUCUGAAGAUUUUAAGGUGUGACCACAUCAUGCAUGAAACAGCCCAGACGUGCUUCAACCAUAACAUGGGAGUACAUGAUUCAGACUAUGUCGGCAACAUAGCUCACUUACGGAAUCCAGUGGAAUGAGAGACAGAUGGACUCCAAGAGUCAUUGGGGAGAGCUCUUCAUCACUGCAGCCAUGCACCUAAACCUAAACAGGUUUUUCUGCCAAGAAUCUAGGGAAAUCCCAUCUCCCCAAAUUUACAGAUAACAUCACUAAGGUUUUUUUUUACCUGACAAGUACUAUAAAGCUGAGAUUGUGCUCACUUUGGUAGCACAUAUACUAAAGAAAAGCUGAGAUUUUUUUUUUAACGUUUAUUUAUUUUGAGAGAGAGAGAGAGAGAGUGGGGAAGGUCCAGAGAAAGAGAGAGAGAGAAUCCCAAGCAGGCUCUGCCAUCAGUGCAGAGCCUGACAUGGGGCUCAGUCCCAUGAACCGUGAAGUCACGACCUGAGCCUGAAAACAAGAGUUGGACACUUAACCAACUGAGCCACCUAGGCGCCCCUAUUAAGCUGAGAUUUAAACCUAGGUCUAUUUUACUUAGCCUGUGUUAAAUACUAGGCUAUUUUCAUUUUAUUUUGUUCAAAAUCCUGAGGUCAUAGAGAAGAAUAGAAGGGUAGUGAUGAGGUGGAUAAUAGGAGGCAGAAAACGCAGGGUUGUUUUAAAGUCUCAACCCUGAGCCUUCUAUCUUUUGUACACUUUCUUCAUAGAAGACACUUUCUCCUACCUGGUAAGUUGUGUACAGGACAACAUGGAAAUAGAGGAGAGGCAGAUAGACCAACAAGGGAGUAAUUUUAGUAAUUCUAUUAUAUAAUUCAAACCUCCUUGUAAUGCAAUUUAGCUUCCCCACUGAUUGUGAAUUAAUCAGGUUUCAUAAUUAUAUUUAUAAUCAGGUUCUUUCUACGUAAUUAUUGUUUGUACUUGAGCAAAUUGCUUAGGAAGGCCACCUCCAAAUCCAAAUUAAAUGUUUCAUUUCCUAUUUCCUUUAUGGGGGCACAUGAUUAUUUUGGGAAAAGCAUUGGCUUGACAAUUAAAUUCCAUGUCUUGCUGUAUCUCCUAGGGAAGACCUAGAUCUCUUUUAAUUAUUUUUUAACAUUACAUAUUCACAAGUCUUACCAACCCAUGGAUGGGAAGGAAGGGCUCUUAGUGGAUCCCUGAAGUAUUACAGACCUCAGGCAAACUUGUAUGCAGUCUUUGUAUUUUAAAAAUUCAGGUAUUCCGGGAAGCCUGGGUGGCUUAGUCAGUUGAGCAUCAGACUCUUGAUUUUGGCUCAGGUCUUGAUCCCAGGAUCGUGGGAGCAAGCCCCACAUCAGGCUCCAUGCUGAAUGUAGAGCCUGCUUGGGAUUCUGUGUCUCCCUCUGCCCCUACCCUGCUCAUGUUCUCUCGUCUCUCUCCCUCUCUCUCCCUCUCUCUCUCUCUCUCUCUCUCUCUCUCUCUUUAAAAUAAAGAAUAAAUAAAAAGGGAGUAAAAUUCAUGUAUUCUAAAUCCCUAAUGAGUUAUCCACUAUUAAGAAUGCAAAAGCUUCAGAAUUCAGAAAUUACCUUAACAAUAUCAGAUAGCCAUAUAAACAUGUUGUGAUCUAAAUUAAACAUUCUCCAUGUAGAAAACUUUUCUUCGAGUUAGCAAAGCAAAUAAAAUUUCUCCUUAAUUUUCACCUGAAGAGGGAAAGCUAGGGUGAGUGAAGAACAGGGUGUGUUUUAAGCUAGGUAUGAAAGGCCUAAUAGAAAAAUCAAGGCUAGAUUUUUCUCUUGUAUGUUGAAGAGAAAUUUAAAUUAUGUGUUAGUGUUUGGUAUGAUUUCCUGUCAGUUUGGAAAGUUAACCUUUCCAGGACAAUCUCUACUAGAAAUUAAGGCGCUUUUUUUUCCCCCUAAAGUUUAUUUAUUUAUUUUGAGAGAGAGAGAGAGAGCAUACCCGUGGGAGGGGCAAAGGGUGAGGGAGAGAGAGAAUCCCAAGGCGGCUCGUUGCUGUCAUUGCAGAGCCUGACACGGGACUCAAUCUCACAAAUCAGGUGAGAUCUUGACAUGAACCGAAAUCGGGAGUUGGACACUUGGGGCUCUGUGCUGACAGUGUGGACCCUGCUUGGGAUUCUGUCUCCCUCCUUCUCUCUCUGCCCCUCCCCCACCUCAAAAUAAAUAAACUUAAAAAAAAAAAAAGAGUGGGAUGUUUAACUGACUGAGCCAACCCAAGCUUUCUUUUCAAAAAGAUUUUUGCCUACUCCUUUUCAGAGAGAUAGCAAGACAUGUUUGACUGAAGAACAUUUGCCACCUUUUGGUUAUCCAGUGUAGUGUAGUACAGUUCCUUUUAUCCCACUUCCCUUUCUUUUCAUAGACUGGAAGAUAAUCCAAAAAUAAACGUGUUCAGAAAUGGAGGUAUACAUACAUGAAAGCUAAGGACAGUCCCGUGUAUCUAGGUCUCUAGGCAAUCUUUUCCUGGUCUUUUCAUCUUGGUAUUCUACCCUUAUCAGAAAAAAAAAAAAAAAGAAAAAAGAAAAAGGACUGUGCUGUAGACUCAAUAUAUGAAAGUGCCUCACUUUCCUGAGAAUUUUGAUUCUUGUAUUCAAGAUGUAUGUGGAGUUUGGUUCAGUUAGAUUUAUGACACCAGAAUUGUUGAAAAGCAAUAAAUUACUACUAUAAUUUCUGUUUUAUUUUAAAUAAUAACGAUCUCUGUUUUUAACUUGUUUGGGAAAGAACAAGCUAUGAACUUUUCUCAGUCUUUGAUGCAGGACUCCAGCUAAACUAGCAAAAGACACUGCCUCAAAGAAACUAAAUAUUUUUUUUCUUUAACAAUUUAACUUUCUAUCUUUUCUCUUUCAAGAUGUAUCAUUAUAAACUUCUUACAAACAAGGACUGUUUCUUCUCAUGGUAUCCUGCAGAUUGCCUUAUACAGACCUACAUAUGAUAGCUAAUAAAAACUUGAGUAUUUUAAAACGGUGAGUCUCAAUGUAAUGAUGAUGAUGGUAAAUGGCAACUAACAUUUAUAUAAAAAGUCUGUGCUAGACGCCGUUGUAAACGUUUCACACAGAAUUGCUCAAUGUAAAACCACUUUUAUCCAGUCAUCCUUAAUUUUUUGGCAAACCUCUUUCAGAAUCUGUGUUACAGUGAAUUCCACAAUUCAGCCUUCAUCUCCCCAACAAGAAUAGCUAGAAUUCCACUCUCAUCCUUUAUUAUUUUGACUCCAGGAAACUGUCACUUUUUCCAUCCAUGCUUGUCCCUAAGGCUUGACCUGAAUACACACAGCAGGUUGCUGCUUUGCUUAUCUUAGGACAUAAAGAAGUAAACAAAGCCUAAAGUAAUUUUGCAGUUGGUAUAAAUCCUUGCUCACCUUCACCGAAGUGAGAGAUACAAUAAACAUGUUGAUUUGAAGUCUGUCUGCCCUACCUUUUACUAUUUUUCAGAAAAAUAUUAGGACCAGCUUCCUCAGCAAAUGUAGGGAGAUAACAGAUCUUCCUGGAUAUUAUGAUGGAGUUAUAUCCUAAUAAAUCCAUUGUAAAUUGAAAAUAUCCUAAGUUGAAAAUGCAUUUUUUAAUAUACCUAACCUACUGAACAUCAUAGCUUAGCCUAACCUACCUUAAACCUACUCAGAAUACUUAUGUUAGCCUACAGUUGGGCAACAUCAUCUAACACAAGACUAUUUUAUACUAAAGUGUUGCAUAUCUCAUGUAAUUUAUUGAAUACUGAAAGUGAGAAGCAGAAUGGAUGUGUGGGUACAAAGUGGCUGUAAGCACGGGGUUUACCCUCACGAUCACAGGGCUGACAGAGCUGCAGCUCACUGCCCCUGCCCUGCUUCAUGGGAGAGGAUCAUACUGCAUGCAUAUCACUAGCCAGGAAAAAGAUCACAAUUUGGAAGUACGGUUUCUACUGAAUGUAUCACUUUCACACCAUGGGUAAGGCAAAAAAAUCGUUAAGUCCAAUCAUCCUAAGUCAGGGACCAUCUACAUUAUGAAACUUCUUUGUAAUAUAUAAUGGGUUGUUUCCAUUUAGAAAUCUAACAAAGUGAUAAUAGUUUUUCUCCCCAUUCGGUCUUGAUUUCUGUUUUAAAAAGCCAUUCAGUCUCAUGCAAUUGGGAAAUUGCACUGCUUAGCAGUGAGAUGAAGGUUGAUAAAACUGCCAUUCGACAAGCUUGGGACCUGACUCUUUAAUAAUGGAGUUAGUACACUUUUCUUCCAGACCACAAGAGGUGUUUCUGCCAGAGUGGUGGUUCACAGACCUGGGCGGUGGAGGAUAAUCUGGCUUUGUUUACUGAGGAAUUUUUAAGGCACUAGCCUAGAACACACUUACAAAAAUGCUGUUCUGCCAACCAAAGCUCCUUUCUUGGUGAUAUCACAAUUCUGCCAUUUCUGAAGAUUUACAGAUAUUGACCAUUUACAGCCUUAAGACUUUGCUGUGGUUUUGGCACAUAACGCCACUGCUAUACAUUAUGGAUUACACAAGGCUUUUGUGCAAGUUUUAAGUGCAAGGGCAAGUGUAAGGCACUGAUUCAUUUUACUUAAUUCAUCCAUUUAUUCAUUUAGUCUUUCACUCCGUGUUUACUGAGUGCCUACUAUGUGUAAUAAAAUUUUUAUUAAAUUCUA